GCCUGGAUAGCUCAGCCGGUAGAGCAUCAGACUUUUCAUCUGAGGGUCCAGGGUUCAAGUCCCUGUUCAGGCG
rnacentral:tRNA from 1 species